rnacentral:rRNA from 1 species
UCUCGUGAUAAUGGCAAAGGGGAAACACCUGUAAACAUACCGAACACAGAAGUAAAGCCCUUUAGCGUCGAAAGUACUUGGCGGGUGACUGCCUGGGAGGAUAGAACAUCGCGGGAC